UGGUGGUAGUGGUUGGCAAAUCAAUAAAUUCAAUUUCCGUGUCCUAUCGAAACCCACUCCGGGCUGCAUUCGGCUAAACCGUGAACCAAUCAUCCCGGAUUAUGGCCGUUCUUGUUAGUUGAUUACAGUUCGUUGACAAACGAAACCUGCUGCGCUAUUCACGCCGGUCCCACCGGAUCAUCUCGAAACAGGCGAACAAUCGCAGCUGCAGCCUGCUGCUGCCAUGGCUGGCUGGAUGUUGGAGGAUGUGAACAGAACCGUCGUAGACUGCAGCGCAUGUUUCAAAACGCAACAAGAGACAACGCAACGCAACGCAACCGCUUGGCCGUCUUCCCGUGUGGAACGCCACACGAUCGCUGGAAACGAGGCUUUGGAUUUAUGUUUCCGAUAGUCAUCGGGGAACGGAUUUUGGGGAGGACUGCGCGAUAUGAUCUCAUGAGCUCACCUUCACAAUGGAGCCAUCCACUAGCAACAAUCAGUGACAGUUAUCCUGCCGUGUUGUCGUCUUCAACGCAGGGAAAACGCAAAAAGCAGAGCUUAAGGGAGUACAAUAUUCGCACAACCGAGAGCCUCUGCUUGGGUCCGGACAGGAACAGCCAGGCAAGCAGACAAGUGGAUCAUGAAGAAAAUCGUGUCACUUCACUAUCACACCGGGUUCCGUGUUGUCGGUGACGCAUACCACAUGAUGGAAGCUGUGCGCGGCGGUGUAAAUUGGCUCAUAACUAUAAGCGUACAAGCUCUAUCCGCCACUCGCUGACGGAACGGACCGGAAAAGCCUGCAGUCCGCAAAAGUCAAGCGUGAAACAAUCGCCAUAAAUUACUCGACCGACACCACGUGCUCCAACGCACGCAGUUUGUUAAGCUACGUGAGUUAAACAAACGACCGGAAUCGGGAUUGAAUUCAAAAGCCCUCCCCCGAUGCGUUUGACAUGUGUAUUAAUUUGUGAAAAGUACGUUUUCUACGAGGUCCUCUUUGUUUGUUUUAUUUUUCGUGUUUGAUGUAUGCAGUUCAAUACACGCAUCCAGGCCUAGUAUGGAUCAUCUGCACCGAUGUAACCGCCAUCGCACUACUGGACUCCCUUGUCAGGAUAAAGCAUAACCCGCAGACACAUCCGACGUGGCUUCUGCUUUUGUUGCACGUUGUUUUGUUCCUUGAAAAAUGCCUGAUGAGGAGCGAAAAACUCCCCCCCGUCUCGUGAAGUGGUUUGUCAGCAGUCGCCCGAACAUCAAACGAAUUUUGAGCGACGUGCUUACCCGUUACGGCACACAGUGGCACGGCGGCCCCUUGGAACAAUAUGCAAUUUUCAAUCUACUCCGUCGAAAGCGCUCUCCCGAGAGCGUCCAGGAUGUCAACGACGUAAACAAAAAUUAUGCACAAAUCCUGCGUUUAUGAGCGCUUGCUGCUCCGUGCCUGAGAUGCACCACUAACCUUCGGUGUCGUUGUUUUUGGGAAGCCAACAGCCAAACAAGAUUUUCGCAACCACCAUUCGCGCGCGAACGGCGGAUCAUCGUCACGUUUUUCCACCCGCGUCAGCACGAGCCACCCGCCGACAGAGGGACCAAAUUUUUGAACGCAAAAGUGCAAGCAUCAUCAAGAGUAUGCUUCCGGGUGCCUGUGGUGGUGCAACAUCAGCGAGGCACACUUCCGACGGAUUAUUGGGUUUCGAGGAUUUGGGGCGAGAAAUGGGUGUAUGUGUUGCUCGAGCAAGUAAUGACAGCCGACCUUGCCUGUCGUCGUUUAUGACACGCGACACACAGUGAUGGAGGGAAAUUAAAUUGCGCUAAUAACCGGAACAUCGGAAAAUGCGCUGAUGAUGAUGCAUCCAUUGACGCUUCCGAGAAAACUCCUCAAUCGGAGAGGAAAGAUCUGCCGCAGAGUAGUGCGCAUCAUACCGAUCCCCGUUCCUGCUAACCACUAACUGCAGAAAAGCCAUCCGCCAUCAUGAUACAAUAAUUGUCACUGGCAUCGUCUAACACCCGCCCGAUGAUGACGCCUAUGCUGUGUGGGUAUAAGAACGCUUCGAACGGAACUGACUGCAUAAACUUGACGGAUAGAUGGCGCUGUCAUCGGCUAUUAGUGUAAAUAGUUCACCAAGUUCAAUCUAAAUAAACACCUCGUUUAAAUAUUAUUCCGAGGGCAUUUAACUUCCGUCUGGAAGGGACAGGUUAGGGUUUCGCAUUCACACUGGAAAAGAAAUAGACACAGGAAGGAAAAAAACAGCAUCCCGAAAGCAUGAAAUUUGAAUAAAAAUGGGAACUCUUUUCUACAACUUAUGAAUAUGCCAUCAUCACCACCUUCAAACUAUCGAGCACAACUUCGGGGGAAAUAUGCUGCCCCGAACAGGUUGCAGAAAUACAGGGGUUUACAUGGUUAAAACAACCGAUCUAUAUGCAGAAUAGUUUACAACUUGUAGCUUAAAUCGCACCAUUCCAGAGAUAUCCUGUCCACAUGAAGAAAACAACUUUCCUCAAGCAGGACAAGAGGAAGUCCUAGAGAUCAGUGACGGAUCAAGGAUUUUGGCGGAAAUGUGGCCUCCUGCCGAGCGGAAUGGCAGUUGAGGCCUAUCUAAUUGUGACUUGCAGCACGUAACGAGGCUUCGCUAACCUAGCGACCGCUCCUUCCACUCCAAGGUUGUUCCACCACUGCUGGAAAAUAUCGACUCGAUAGAAAGAUCUUCACGAGGAAUUGCCUUUUGAUUCUAAAAAGAGUUAGAAGCUAAACUGAACUGAACUUCUGAGACAUUACCAUGUUCUUAAUGCUGUUUGUCAAAGAUCCCAUCCCGAAUAUUCUUCGGAAGCUACCAGGUUGUUGUUUUUAUAGAUAUAUCUCCCAUCGACCCAAUCCUCCAGAAUCUACUCGACAAAUCCCCCACUAACCUCCGAAAGAUCUAGAUCACAGCUUAGCAUCGCAUACGACGAUCGAUAUUACGAGCAGACAUCGAUGAACUAGACAGCUAGUUCAUCGAUGUCUUACUUUAACAACAAAUGUCUAACUAAAGAGUAAACUAUUGCUCGAUUUUCGACCUGGUAAACCCUGUAAACCGCUCGUUUACUAUUUUUCCUUCCACGAUUGCGUACCGUAUGUGCACCCUACCAAAUGGAUAACACCACACAUUGCAUGAUGGCCGGCCGACCAGGAAAUGCAAGAUUGUUCGUUAGGAGCCUUCCAUUUUUUGUUGUUGUUGGCAAGCCACACCAUCACUAGGUUCGACUCCGGUCCACUCCCUGUGGAAUUCGACUUCGAUUGUGGAAAAUGCUGGUGCCUCUCUGUUGUGUGUGUGUAUGAUUGCAAAAAAAACGCCGGGAAUGCAUUACUCGCGAGGGAAUGCUUUCCCCUUGCCGGGGUUUCCCUUUUUCGCCCCUCAACUUGAUCAAUUUUCCACCAGCAGUUUUCAUCCGUAUUCAUCCGUAAUUUGCAGAGUCUUAAAUAAUGUGCUUCUCGUAUGGUAUGAAAGGCCAGUAAAGGGAAGGUUUUGCAUAUGAUCCUUGUGAAGUGAGGGAGCUGAUUCGUGGUUUGUGAUGCUCUAAUAUUGAAUGCAUAGUCGGUAAAGAAUUGAAGUUCCUUACAAAAUUAUUCUUAAACGGUGCCUUGAUGAUAAGCCUCGGAAUCGACAAAAGCAGUAUUUUUGGAAUUGAAUAUCCUGUGGAAUCCUUGGGAAUCCUUAUCAUACUGACCUCUUUAGAUUACGUUUGUCCAGAUGGUAGUAUCAUUCAAUGCAAUCAUGCUUAAUAGACGAAAGGAGUCAGCUCUUACCCUUACCAUACCUUGAAUUCCGUUGUUCCUCGGCAUUAUUCGUUCCAAAUUGAGACGUCACAAAACGGCUCCGAAAACGGGUUGUGUACCUCAGUAGCUUCCGUACGUAAUAUCUACCCGGCCCAACUCCAUGUCCAAGUCGUCGUCGGCAGCAUGGUCGUCUGCUCGUUACAGGAAAAACAUAUGAAUUUUCAUAAUGUCGGGAAUGUGUGUUUGCUCUGGUGCUCCGUGGCCGUGGAGAAUUUUGCUGAGGUAAGGCGCAACACACCCCACCAGCGCAUAACGUAUGAUUGAACACGCACAUUUGUUGUCCGCACGGCGCACACUGAUGCCUCGUCCUGUCUACAGGUUUGUUCUAUCCCUCAUUCAC